rfam:Gossypium raimondii Chr11_contig_1115, whole genome shotgun sequence.
AACCCAUGGUGAGGGCACCAUCUCAAUAAAUCCUUGUAUAUCUCUCAUGCAUCAUAUAGAGUCUCUAAAUUGAUCUGUACAAAGGAGGAGAUAUCAAUCAUCAACUU